rnacentral:rRNA from 1 species
AACGUAGGGGGCGAGCGUUGUCCGGAAUUACUGGGCGUAAAGAGCUCGUAGGCGGUAGUUCAAGUCAGGUGUGAAAUCCGACGGCUUAACCGGAGGGCUGCACCUGAUACUGGGCUGCUAGAGGUAAGGAGAGGAAGGUGGAAUUCCCGGUGUAGCGGUGAAAUGCGUAGAUAUCGGGAGGAGCACCAGUGGCGAAGGCGGCCUUCUGGCCUUAACCUGACGCUGAGGAGCGAAAGCUAGGGGAGCAAACGGG